rnacentral:rRNA from 1 species
UACGUAGGUGGCUAGCGUUGUCCGGAUUUACUGGGCGUAAAGAGCGCGCAGGCGGUCGUUCAAGUCGAGUGUGAAAGCCCCCGGCUCAACUGGGGAGGGUCACUCGAUACUGAUCGACUCGAAGGCAGGAGAGGGAAGCGGAAUUCCCGGUGUAGUGGUGAAAUGCGUAGAUAUCGGGAGGAACACCAGUGGCGAAGGCGGCUUUCUGGCCUGCUCUUGACGCUGAAGCGCGAAAGCUAGGGUAGCAAACGGG